CCCUUAGAUGUCCUGGGCUGCACGCUCGCUACACUGACACAUGCAACGAGUCUACAACCUUGGCUGGAAGGCCUGGGUAAUCUGUGAACGUGUGUCGUGAUAGGGAUAGAUUAUUGCAAUUAUUAAUCUUGAACGAGGAAUUCCUAGUAAACGCAAGUCAUCAGCUUGCAUUGAUUACGUCCCUGCCCUUUGUACACACCGCCCGUCGCACCUACCGAUUGAGUGAUCCGGUGAAUAAUUCGGACUGCGGCAUUGACCGGUUCCCGAUCGUUGCUGCGGAAAGUUUAGUGAACCUUAUCACUUAGAGGAAGGAGAAGUCGUAACA
rnacentral:rRNA from 1 species